AGAAUAGCAAAAGUCCUCUUUGAAAAGCGAUAUUUAGAAUGCCAAAUCAUUUGUUUCACAUGGAUGAUAAAUCAAAAGUUUUACAUGUAGAUGAGGAAAUACACAGAAAAAUCUGAAUGGUGUUUAUGACCAUUGACCAUUGGACCAAAGGAAAAUGAAGCAGUAUCUGCAUUUCCCAUCAAGCUUUUAAAAAACAUGAUUUCUAGGAAGCACUCUUUCAGGUAAAAUCACACUAUCAAAAGCACAUAAAAAGGGGAAGACAGACUAAUGUGUCAAGCCCUCAGUGUUGUUGCAAG
rnacentral:lncRNA from 1 species